rnacentral:rRNA from 1 species
CUACGGGACGCUGCAGUGGGGAAUAUUGCACAAUGGGCGCAAGCCUGAUGCAGCAACGCCGCGUGAACGAAGAAGGUUUUCGGAUCGUAAAGUUCUUUUCUUGGGGAAGAAACCAUGACGGUACCCAAGGAAUAAGCACCGGCUAACUACGUGCCAGCAGCCGCGGUAAUACGUAGGGUGCAAGCGUUACCCGGAAUCACUGGGCGUAAAGGGUGCGUAGGCGGUUUUACAAGUCAGAAGUGAAAGGCAAUGGCUCAACCAUUGUAAGCUUUUGAAACUGUAAGACUUGAAUGCAGGAGAGGUAAGUGGAAUUCCUAGUGUAGCGGUGAAAUGCGUAGAUAUUAGGAGGAACACCAGUGGCGAAGGCGACUUACUGGACUGUUAUUGACGCUGAGGCACGAAAGCGUGGGGAGCGAACAGGAUUAGAUACCCGGGUAGUC